AGCGAACGCUGGCGGCAGGCUUAACACAUGCAAGUCGAGCGCCCCGCAAGGGGAGCGGCAGACGGGAGAGUAACACGUGGGAACAUACCUUUUGGUUCGGAACAACUGAGGGAAACUUCAGCUAAUACCGGAUAAGCCCUUACGGGGAAAGAUUUAUCGCCGAAAGAUUGGCCCGCGUCUGAUUAGCUAGUUGGUGAGGUAACGGCUCACCAAAGCGACGUUCAGUAGCUGUUCUGAGAGGAUGAUCAGCCUCACUGGGACUGAGACACGGCCCAGACUCCUACGGAAGGCAGCAGUGGGGAAUAUUGGACAAUGGAGGCAACCCUGAUCCAGCCAUGCCGCGUGAGUGAUGAAGGCCUUAGGGUUGUAAAGCUCUUUUGCCCGGAAAGAUAAUGACGGUACCGGGAGAAUAAGCACCGGCUAACUUCGUG
rnacentral:rRNA from 1 species